CAGCUAAACUCUGUUAAGCGCCCUCUUGGUUAAUGUUCAGUGUUGGAAUUGGCCAGUAGUGUCCUAUGCACAGAGCAAUGGGAGAUUUGACGGGACAAAGGUGUAGGGGUGGGCAGAGUAGCCCUCUGUACCUUUGUAAACUAAAGCCAACUGCUUUCUACAUUUUAUUUAGUGAAGGAAAAAAACGUCCAGGUGAGAGGUAACUACUACUUCAUCGUUGCAUCAGUCUCACUCAUGCAGUUUUGAGUUGAGACAACCAGCUUGAAGCUGUUACCUGUAGGUGGUGUCGUGAACACUGCAGUGUUAUGGAGGGCAGGGGUUUUGACACAGGUUGGCAGCAGAGGCCGAAGUAUUUUCCACUUUCCAACCCCGUGGACGAUAUGCCACCUGGCUGACUUCGACUCACCCAACCUGGGACGGUUGACCUUCAGGGCCUCCUGGACUCGGAGCAGCGUAGGAGAGAUCUGGAAGUCAGUCUGGCUCGGGUCGAAAGUGCUCUGCAGAAACAGAGGCUCUGACUGCUCCAGAGAAUGGGCCGAGGGAGCCGGCAUGCACAACCCCAGAUACUUGUUUUGAAUCUUCGGCAGAUCAAACGACCAGUAAAACUCCAUCCCAGACUGUUAUCAGGGAAUGUCUACAUCCCACCAUGUGGUGACCUUUACAGAAGGAGCGAGACAACCUUGAGCAUCUGCUGGAGGAGUCUAGGGCCUAGCAGGGCCUGGUGGGGCAGGUAAGGGAUGCCUCAGAAGCCCGUAUGGAAGCCCUCCACUCCCAGCUGUAUUAGGAACGCUUCAUCCUCCAGGAGACACACAGAGAGAGACUGGCCACACAGGCAGAGCAACAUGGCAGCAAGCAGGUGGAGCAUUGGAAGACCAGACCAACUAAACUGGUACAGGGAUUCACACCCAAAAUUGAUUCAGGUGGUUCCUUCUACACUUCGUAUUUGUACAGAAGCAUGUAAUCUUGCCAGACGUCUCGGUAGUAUCUAACCCAGGCCUCACCUGAUAAGGCUAACAGAAAACUGAAAGGGGUUGUGAACCAGUAGAAGUCAGGUUUUACCAAUCAUCACACCAGUUGUGAGUAGCCACACAACAGUUGUCUCUAUAAUAAUGCCACAGUAAAGACAUAUACUAUUUUGUGUAACACCACUUUGUUGGCUGAUGAUCUGCAGAUGAAUAAGUCCCUGUAAAUGGAGGUGGUGUCUCUCAGACAGAGGCCGGGGUCUGCAGAGGAGUGACCAACCUGAUGGAGAGUGACAGGCGCCUACUCAGGGUUCUCCUAGCGGCACCGGAGACUGAGCGGGAGGAGCUGCUUCAACAAGGACACCCCUCAGCCCUUGGGUAAGGAACCCCCAGCCUCUAAUAUUGGUGCACUUCGAGGGCUGAAAGAAUCAGAUGGAUAAAAUCAAUAUGGUUCUACUUAGCUCUUUUAUAGGCUGGGGUAGAAUGUCCUCCGUAUUACUGCCUUACACCUAUCCAAACCUUAUGGUCGUCAUACGUGCAAAGAGAGUAUGGGUGGAUUUGGGAUGGAAUCAGUAUCUCUACCUUUAUCUUGAGGUAAUGGAGAAUUUUCUUUUCUCAUUGUUUUCACUCUUUACAUCAUCAGAGUGCUGAUAGCUCCAGAACACGGAGAAACAGUCAGACUUCUAACGGAGGAACAAAAACCAGUGGUUUGUCAGUCCAAUUGGAAAUGGUCAGACUUAUAAAGGACGAGCCAGAAGCAUGGGUUUGUCAGUCCACAUCUUUUUGUCUCUUAGGAGCACUUGGGAAACGAAAGUGGAAAUCUCUGGAAAGGAGGAGAGGGUGAGGGAGGAGAGUGCCGUGUAUGAAAUGGAGGAACAAGAUGAGGAGGAGAGAGCGGAAGGGAAUAAUGUGUGUUAUUCAUCUGCAGUCAAAAUUCAGUGAGGACUUAAGAUCCAUGAGGUGACCCACUCUAGGCCUGGCCCACAGAAAGAAAUAAAGGAAGAGAACCUGGUAACUGCCUCUUUGGGAGUCCUUUCCUACAGCACCAUGUCACGUUGAAGCAGUCUAACAUGUGGCAGACUGAUGUUUCCUUUCAAACAUACCUCUCCUCCAAACUCCACUUCAGCAGUUCCCAAACUUUCAUUUAACAUAUAAAAAUGUUAUAUAAUAUAACAAGCAUAUAUUUUUUUAAACCUGGGAUAUUAUUAAGCCAUGGUAUUUAUUAUACUUCCAGUACUUUAUGUUAAAAUAUAACUUUAGUAAAGUUCAUGCAACCUGAGAACCAUUUUUACGCCAAGAUGCUACUUUUUGCAGUUUACUGUGCUACAUGCUUCACCAUCCAGUAUCAUGCCAACACAUGCUGAAUAGACAAGCUAUAGACAUACCUAUGAGUUAUGUGUAUUGUGGAUUUCUGAGGAUUCACUGGCUUAGAAUACUGCUGAUCAAAGAUAAUUCUAGAUAG